rnacentral:rRNA from 1 species
UACGUAGGUGGCAAGCGUUGUCCGGAAUUAUUGGGCGUAAAGCGCGCGCAGGCGGUCCUUUAAGUCUGAUGUGAAAGCCCACGGCUCAACCGUGGAGGGUCAUUGGAAACUGGAGGACUUGAGUACAGAAGAGAAGAGUGGAAUUCCACGUGUAGCGGUGAAAUGCGUAGAGAUGUGGAGGAACACCAGUGGCGAAGGCGACUCUUUGGUCUGUAACUGACGCUGAGGCGCGAAAGCGUGGGGAGCGAACGGG